GAUGAACGCUAGCGGCGGGCCUAAUACAUGCAAGUCGAACGGGAAAGGUGGCAACACCUUGAGAGUGGCGUACGGGUGCGUAACGCGUAUACAACCUGCCUGUUACACGGGGAUAGCCUUGCGAAAGCGAGAUUAAUACCCGAUGGUACUAUUGAGCGGCAUCGCUUGGUAGUUAAAGUUGAGGCGGUUACAGCGGGGUAUGCGUCCCAUUAGCUAGUUGGUAGUGUAACGGACUACCAAGGCGACGAUGGGUAGGGGUUCUGAGAGGAUGAUCCCCCACAGAGGUACGGAGAUACGGACCAGACUCCUACGGGAGGCAGCAGUAGGGAAUAUUGGGCAAUGGACGGAAGUCUGACGCAGCCACGCCGCGGGCAGGAAGAAGGUCCUCUGGAUUGUAAACUGCGGAACUAGGGGAAGAAAACCCUUCUGCGGAAGGAAGUGACGGUACUCAAAGAAUAAGCAGCGGCUAACUCCG
rnacentral:rRNA from 1 species